rnacentral:misc_RNA from 1 species
GUCCUCGUCCUCGUCCUCGUCCUCGUCCACGUCCAGCCCCACGUCCAUGGCCACGGCCACCAUUUGGCAGAGGCAAUCCACCUGGACGGCUAUUUCUUUCAUCUCCAUCUCUACUAUAAUAUUUUCUGCCUCUGGAGCCAGUGGUUGAAGGUUCAUCUCUGGUUGAAUUUAACUGGCCUUGCCAACCUUCAUUACCACUGCCCAUGGAUGCUCCAGUGGAAUAACCAGAUGAGGGAUUUCCUGUUAGUGUUGGGCCAUGCAGUAAAUCAUCAAUGUGUCGUUGGAAAUAUGCCACAACCUGUUCAAUCUUCCCAAAAAUCUGCCUCCUAAAUUUGAAUCCCUCAGGCUGCACACCAAUAUAUUCAUGACGUAGGAUUGUUCUUAUGUAGGACAAGAUGAAAUUGCCAGGAUGCUUAUAAGAAAUACCAAAACAGUAAACUAUCCUCAUUGGAUGUUCUGACUUCUCAGCUCUUAAGAGCUCAUCAACCUCUGCCUCUGAAGCCCUCAUAAAUUUUUUGAAGUUUAUCAUUGUCUUAAGGUGAGUUACCAAUGGAUUAACAUAUUGAUCCAUAACCUCAUCUAAAUCCCCAAAAAUGCUAUCUCCUAUCUUCAAUUUUUUCCCAAUAUGGAGCAAGCUUUUGAUAUCUCUAUGGUCCUUCUGACCUUCAAUGAUGUCUUUGUGAGCAUAA